rnacentral:lncRNA from 1 species
UUGGUUACACGUGUUAGAUACUCGCUCGCGUGUGUGUUGUCUACAUACGCGUGGGGGCGUCGACGUAUUUCUUUUUCUUCUUCUUUUUUUUGAAAUAUGACAACUUUCUUCAUGUNUUUUUUUAUGUUUUUGUGCAUGCGUUUUUUUUGUAUUUUAUUUAUAAAUUACGCAAUAAAUAUUUUUAAUUAUUUUAUAUAUCUAAAGACUAUUUAUAAUAAAUAUACUCUAACAUUAUUUCUAAUGGCUAUUUCUAUACAUGUAAUGUUUAUUUUCAGAAAUCCUUUAUAUAUAGUUCAAAUUUUACAUUUUCACACUACUCUCCAACAUUUCAAUCUUCUUCCUUUUUUUCACUUUAUU